rnacentral:lncRNA from 1 species
UUAUGUUCUUCUCAUAUAUGUUAUGAUGGUAUGAUACUAAACCCCUAACGGGAAGGAUUGUGCCUGAUGUUCAUAUGAUGAAAUCAUAAUCUUUCAGUCAGUUUAAUUGAAGUCUGGAGCUGGCAUGUCAGUUAACUGCUAGUAGUCUGUUGUUAUUUAUUUAUUAUUGUCAUUUUGUUUAUUUUCUUUGGUUACAUCUUCUGAAAUCAGACUCGGACUUCUCUUGAACUGAAUUUUAAUGUGCGUAUUGUUAUGCGUUUACUUUUCUACAUUGGUUAGAGGUAUGGGGGGAGGGUUGAGAUCUCACAAACAUGUUUAACCCCGCCGCAUUUUUGCGCCUGUCCCAAGUCAGGAGCCUUUGUUAGUCUUGUAUUAUUUUAAUUUUAGUUUCUUGUGUACAAUUUGGAAAUUAGUAUGGCGUUCAUUAUCACUGGACUAGUAUAUAUUUGUUUAGGGGCCAGCUGAAGGACGCCUCCGGGUGCGGGAAUUUCUCGCUACAUUGAAGACCUGUUGGUGACCCUCUGCUGUUGAUUUUUAUUUGGUCGGGUUGUUGUCUCUUUGACACAUUCCCCAUUUCCAUUCUCAAUUUUAUGCAACUUA